ACCUUGAUUGAACUCAGAAAUCUGCUUGCCUCAAUCUCCUGGAAUUAAAGGUUUUAGAUGAAUGCACAAUGAAAAUGAGUCGAGAUUCAUUGGCCAGAUACUUUUAUGAUAUGGGUGGUAGAAAAAUUGGUGAUAUCUUGAAAGAAACUUCCUCGAGCUUUUCAAGCAUCAUUUGCACAACUGGCCGAGUGACACAAUGUAUCCUGACUGUCAGAGCGGUGUGACAGCAGAGUCCCGCCCUCAUGUCCAGCUGCUCUUUAUUCUCCUCUCAGUCCCCUCUUAAGAAGCAGUGGAUACAUACAGGUGAGCAUGCUGAUGUAUGAACUGCAGACAGCUAUCAAAAGCAACAGAGGUCAUCUUGCUAAACUUGGCCCCCAAUUACAGGCUGAGCAGGAGCAGUUCUCCUUAUGUCUGCCAACACAUUAAAAGCCUUCCAGCAAACAGUGUGGUCCCAAGAGGCCUACAACUCAAGGUGGAUGUCAUUCUGUGACUCUCACUGGAUUCAGGCAGAGACGAAAACAUUCCAUCCCCCUGAAGACCUGUAUAACACUAGCUUUCAGUUGAAUGUCUCAUUUUGUCCUCAACAGCAAAGUUUGACCUGUAAGGGUUAAGUAUACGAUUCAGAAAAUAGAUUUUAAAAGGAAA